GGAAAGUACCUAUUUGCCCCUUUGCUUUUUUAGAGAGCCACGUGGCUGCUUCUUUUGCAUGCUAUUGCUUCUUGCUUCUACUAUCUCUCUUCAACGUCUCAGUCUGAAUUUAGAAGAUGAUUAAUAUUUUCAAUUUUUCUUUCUCUCUCUUCUCUUUCAAUCUGCCUGUCUUCUUCCUCUCCCUCAACCUUCCCCUCUUUGUCUCUUUCUUCUUCUUUCUCUCUCCGAGUCUUCUUUCUCUCUCAGAGCGACAUCUUUCAAUCUCUCUUUCUUCUACUUUAUGCUUUCUGCUUUCUUCCUCUUCAUUUCCCCUUUUCUUCAUCAUCUUCUUCAUUUCCCAAAACGAAACCGACACGGUUAUCAGGUUUUUUUGGAUUUCUGUUUAACGAUACUGUUUAGAUAUUGUGGUUAGUGUUUUUGUGGUUUAUAUGAUGAUUUUGUGGUUAGGGUUUUUGUGAUUGUGGUUGAUAUCAUGAUUUUGUGGUUAGGGUUUUGAUGCUACUAUUGGUCAAAUGGAGGUAUGUUGUUCUUUUCAUCUUUGUAACAAAAAUAUGAAUAAUGUUUUCACCGGUUGCUUUUAACAUUCAGAUCUAUGGUGGCAACAACAGGUUACCGGCGAUUAGUGUGGUGGUGGUGGUAGAAACGGGUUUCCGCCGACGAGUGUGGUGGUGGCCGAAAUCAGAAAGGUUUAUCUAUGACUGAGGUGUGUUUGCUAUGCGAUAAUGCUCAUUUCAAUUUGGGUUUUUUUGGUUACUUUCUUUUAUUUAUAAUUUUGACUUGAUUAUAUAGUUUUGAAAAGUGGUUUAUUAUUAACAUCUUCACUGCUUGCUAGGGAUCAAACUGAGCCUCUUUAUUUUAUGGAUCUUUUGUAUGACAACAUAAUAUUUCUGAAUUGGUAUGCGAUAUUAUGUUUUGUUUCUCAUCCAACAAUAUAUUAAAUGACAUAUUCUUUACCCAGUCUAUUGUUUCUUGGAAAUACCAUUUUAUCACUACACAUAAUAUUUAUGAGACUUACACUUUUGAACUGAUGGAUCAUGCAGAACUAUACAAUAGGAAAUCCUGCUUGUGUUGUACAUUAAGAAUUUUCCAAAAGAUGUGAUUAAUGAGGAUUUCUAUUUUUUAUUAGUUAUAAACUAAAAGCUAGAGUUGAAAAUAUAAUCUUGCCAGUGUCUGGUGUGAGUGUCUGAUCAAAAUAUAAUAGGGUCAGUGUCUGGUGUGAGUGGUCUGAAUUAGAGUUGAAACAUAAGAAUUUUACAGGAGCACUUGAGCUUAUGAGGCGGGCUACUGCAGAGCCACCAGUCGAGGUUAAACUAAAAGUGGUGGUUGAUGGGAUUCAACCGGUUCAGAUGAGACUUCAUAAAUCAUUGAGAUUGUGGACCUUUUAUGCUGAUUUGGAGGAAAGUCUAGGUAAUUUGGAGUCUACUCAGGCAGAUUACGAACGGAUUAUGGAAAUACGAAUAGCCACACCACAAAUAAUAAUCAAUUAUACAAAGUUUCUAGAGGAGAACAACUUCUUUGAAGAUGCUUUUAAGGUUUAUGAAAGAGGAGUGAAGAUAUUUAAGUACCCACAUGCUAGAGAUAUUUGGGUUACAUAUUUGUAUAAAUUUGUGAAGAGACACGGAAAGGAAAAAUUGAAGAGAGCGAGAGAGUUGUUUGAGAAUGCAGUUGAAAUGGUAAUUAUUUGCCUCAAAUUAUUCUCUCAGUAAUUUUCGGUUACAGGUUCGGGGCCAGUUUUGUUUGAGUAUAAGCGAUGUCUUCUCGAGAUUUCAAUUGCCAGGAUGUUAUACCUGCUGAGGAACUAUAUUCCAGUAGCUAUUUGUCUAUGACAAUCUUGGUAUUUUUAACAUUUGAUUGCAUUGAAGGGUCGGUUUGUCAAAGCUGGCAAGGCCUACAAUUAUGAUCCUUUGAGCCAAACCAGAAGCUACUGAAUGUACAAUAUUUAACCAGUUUCUAUGUUGCAAAUGGAAUUAGCAGCAGCUAGGAGUUAUCACGAAAAGAACUCAAUUGGCUUGGCCAAUGGUUCCAGGGAAGCUGCUUUCAAGAAAAGAAGGCAUUUGUAGUGAUAGGUAUAAACACCGCUUCGGUAGCAGGAAGCGGCGUGAUUCGGUUAGAGAAACUUGGAUGCCUCAAGGUGCUUUUACACUUAUCUGCUACGGGUGAACUUGAGUUGCCAUUUACAGUGUUACUCUUGGUGAUUGUAGCUCCUUAUGAGGCUAUAUGAUUAAGGUAAGCAAAUCCAUGUUCUUGGGGCCAUUGAGUUGUUUUCAACUUUACCAUAUUUAUUAAAAUAAAAACGUAUACUGCAUGAUUAUUCUGUUGAUCAGGGACAUAAAAGAAAGUGUUGCAAUUUCUUUAUUGAUUGCAGCAUAUUUGGCUUUUCAGCAUUUCCCAAGAAGAAGCUUGGAGAAAUCAUUUAACCAAGGUUCAAUUUAUUGCCACCUUAGCGGUCAAAGAUAUCACUGUUGCGUCUGUGUUACUUCUUAUAUGAGUUGUGUUUGAAAUGAGUUAUGCUAGCAGUACAUUGUAAAUUAGAAUAAUAGCUGUUGAAAUGUUGAAA